rnacentral:tRNA from 1 species
GGUCUCGUGGUGUAGUGGGUAUUACAUCUGUCUGACACACAGAAGGCCGGCGAUUUGAGUCCGCCCGAGAACA